rnacentral:lncRNA from 1 species
UUUUUUUCUUCUUUUUAUUUAUCUCCAAAAAUGGAUAUUUUCUUCUCUCCUUCCUUUUUUGAGAUUUUCUUCUCUUUUUUUUCGAAAUAAAAAUAACUAUACAUAAACUACUAUAUUUAAAAGCUUUAUUGACUACACUAAACUGAAUUACAUGUCACUCACUACAAAAAACUGUGUAAUUAUUUACAGUUGUUUUUGCCCACACUGGAGGUUAUAAAACCCAAAAACAGACCACAUUGGCAGUUUGCCA